UACGAAGGGGGCUAGCGUUGUUCGGAAUUACUGGGCGUAAAGCGUGCGCAGGCGGCUGCUCAAGUCAGGGGUGAAAGCCCAGAGCUCAACUCUGGAAUUGCCUUUGAGACUGAGUGGCUUGAGUACGGGAGAGGUGAGUGGAAUUCCAGGUGUAGCGGUGAAAUGCGUAGAUAUCUGGAGGAACACCGGUGGCGAAGGCGGCAUCCUGGACCAACACUGACACUGAGGAGCGAAAGCCAGGGGAGCAAACGGG
rnacentral:rRNA from 1 species